UAUGUUUUUCUUUAUAGUUUAGAUGACUUUAGUAUUAAUCUUCAAUACAGCACAUUUAAAAAUAAACCUCAGUAAACAUCUCCUCGUGGCUGUAUAAGAGAAUAAAUCAGUGUAAUUGGUACUGAUUAUAAACACCAUGGAAAAUAUGGCUAGUUAAAUAAGUCGCUGUUUCGCGAAUCUGCGUUUGUCCGCUCUGUGUUGCCGUACAUGACCUUGCUGUCCUGGUAUGGCAGCGCUGUGGGUAGGAGCAGCAGCGCUGAUUUUAAUACGUUUUUCUCUGUAUUUAUAGUAAUAAAUAAUAUUCUGUAGUCCUGCUGGUGGUGUAGUCAGUCAGUCGCCUGUCUCCGCUGUGUGUGAGAGUCAGACCCGCGCGCUCUGAUCCUCCUGAGACUGCUUAAUCUCCCGGAACUCGCAGCAGACUUUGGUGGAAACUAGCAAUAAUUUUCGAAUGGACUGAAAAGCUUUCUUUAGACUUGCCAUCAUGCUUCCAAGGCGGAUACCAUUCAACCAGAUCGCUUUUGCAACUCUGCUCGGGGUAGGAGGGGGCAUCUAUAUCUACAAACCCAUGUUUGAACUUCCACGAAGGUCCAGAAGCACACCAAGCCAACAGGACAUCAAAACUGAAGCAGACAGUAAAGGGACUGAUCCAGGCGUACAUGAAAAUACUGCCAAACCAGCCGCAAGUGCAACAAAUACUGGAGCAACACCAGAGGCUUCUGCAGCCAAAUGAAGCUUGACAGUGAUUCUCAAAUCAAUAUGUUCAUGCAUCUGUGUGCCUUUGCAGUUUGUCUGUGUUUAACUAAAUAAAAAGCCAUGUACAUAUUCUAAAAAUAUGUAUAUAUAUUGAU